rnacentral:rRNA from 1 species
AUUGAACGCUGGCGGCAGGCCUAACACAUGCAAGUCGAGCGGAUGAAGGGAGCUUGCUCCUGGAUUCAGCGGCGGACGGGUGAGUAAUGCCUAGGAAUCUGCCUGGUAGUGGGGGAUAACGUCCGGAAACGGGCGCUAAUACCGCAUACGUUCUGAGGGAGAAAGUGGGGGAUCUUCGGACCUCACGCUAUCAGAUGAGCCUAGGUCGGAUUAGCUAGUUGGUGGGUUAAAGGCCUACCAAGGCGACGAUCCGUAACUGGUCUGAGAGGAUGAUCAGUCACACUGGAACUGGGACACGGUCCAGACUCCUACGGGAGGCAGCAGUGGGGAAUAUUGGACAAUGAGCGAAAGCCUGAUCCAGCCAUGCCGCGUGUGUGAAGAAGGUCUUCGGAUUGUAAAGCACGUUAAGUUGGGAGGAAGGGCAGUAAGUUAAUACCUUGCUGUUUUGACGUUACCAACAGAAUAAGCACCGGCUAACUUCGUG